rnacentral:rRNA from 1 species
UACGAAGGGGGCUAGCGUUGCUCGGAAUCACUGGGCGUAAAGGGCGCGUAGGCGGAUCUUUAAGUCGGGGGUGAAAGCCCAGGGCUCAACCCUGGAAUUGCCUUCGAUACUGGAGAUCUUGAGACCGGAAGAGGUAAGUGGAACUGCGAGUGUAGAGGUGAAAUUCGUAGAUAUUCGCAAGAACACCAGUGGCGAAGGCGGCUGACUGGUCCGGUUCUGACGCUGAGGCGCGAAAGCGUGGG